rnacentral:rRNA from 1 species
CUACGGGAGGCAGCAGUGGGGAAUCUUAGACAAUGGGGGCAACCCUGAUCUAGCCAUGCCGCGUGAGUGAUGAAGGCCUUAGGGUCGUAAAGCUCUUUCGCCUGUGAUGAUAAUGACAGUAGCAGGUAAAGAAACCCCGGCUAACUCCGUGCCGGCAGCCGCGGUAAUACGGAGGGGGUUAGCGUUGUUCGGAAUUACUGGGCGUAAAGCGCGCGUAGGCGGAUUAGAAAGUUGGGGGUGAAAUCCCGGGGCUCAACCCCGGAACUGCCUCCAAAACUGCUAGUCUAGAGUUCGAGAGAGGUGAGUGGAAUUCCGAGUGUAGAGGUGAAAUUCGUAGAUAUUCGGAGGAACACCAGUGGCGAAGGCGGCUCACUGGCUCGAUACUGACGCUGAGGUGCGAAAGUGUGGGGAGCAAACAGGAUUAGAUACCCUCGUAGUC